UUUUGCUCGAUGUCAUCCCCAGCUCCUUCAAGCAGCUGACAUCUAGAUUCUUUUCCUCACUCGGCCAUGGUGUCCAAUUCCUCACCGUGUGUUUCCUCCCGACCACGCACUUCCGGCAAGCUGCUAGAGCCAUCUCCCCUUCGAGCUCCUCUUUCAUGGUGUCGAGCCCUCUUCACUCGCUAUCUCUGCUCAGAGUGUCGCAGUCCUUGGUUGGGCUCCACCCUCGCUGGAGCCCGGCGGUCGUCGAGGUCUCGGAUGCUGUCUUUAUCUUCCAUGGUGUUUGUCGUGAGCUCCACGUACGGCUCCGGCCAUCG
rnacentral:lncRNA from 7 species